AUGGCUUUAGGCAGAAAUACACAUGAUGGGGAGACAUACAACGGGCACCUGGUGAGCUGCGACAACUGAAUGAACAUCAACCUCCGCGAGGUGAUCUGCACGGUGAUCUGAACGGUGACAAGUUCUGGAGAAUGCCUGAGUGCUACAUCCGUGGCAGCACCAUCAAGUACCUGCGCAUCCCCGAUGAGAUCAUCGACAUGGUGCGGGAGGAGGCCGCCAAGGGCCGAGGGCGAGGAGGACCACAGCAGCAGAAGCAGCAGAAAGGCCGAGGCAUGGGAGGCGCUGGCCGAGGUGUGUUUGGUGGCCGGGGCUGGGGUGGCAUCCCAGGUGCAGGCCAAGGCCAGCCCGAGAAGAAGCCAGGGCGGCAGGCAGGCAAGCAGUGA